rnacentral:tRNA from 1 species
UGAGGAGUCGUCUAAUGGUAGGACACCAGCCUUUGGAGCUGUGAAUCUUGGUCCGACUCCAAGCUCCUCAG